rnacentral:tRNA from 1 species
GGGGAUGUGGCUCAGUAGUAGAACACUUUUCUACAAUGUGUGAGGCCCUGGGUUCAAUCCCUAGCACCUCCA